rnacentral:rRNA from 1 species
AGGUCAAGCUAAAAAGAGCGCAGGGUGAAUGCCUUGGCACUGGGAGCCGAUGAAGGACGCGAUAAGCUGCGAAAAGCUGCGGGGAUCAGCAAGUAUGAAAUGAUCCGCAGAUGUCCGAAUGGAGCAAUCCGCCGGAAUAAAGCUCCGGCAUCAUACACUGAAUCCAUAGGUGUAUGAGGGGAACCGCCUGAACUGAAACAUCUAAGUAGGGCGAGGAAGAGAAAUCAACCGAGAUUCCGCCAGUAGUGGCGAGCGAACGCGGAAGAGGCUAAACCAACGGUAGAAAUACCAUUGGGGUUUCGGACUGUGAAAGGUAUCUUAAGAUCUAGUCGAAGUGUGUGGGAAAGCAUACCGGAGAGCGUGAGAGUCGCGUAGAUGAAAGAUCGAGAGAGCCGACAGGAUCCAAAGUACCACGGGACACGAGGAAUCCCGUGGGAAGACGGGGGGACCACCCUCCAAGCCUAAAUACUACCCAGUGACCGAUAGCGUAUAGUACUGUGAAGGAACGGUGAAAAGAACCCCGGGAGGGGAGUGAAAGAGAACCUGAAACCCUGUGCUUACAAGCACAUAGAGCACGUCAACGUGUGAUAUGGUACUUUUUGUAGAACGGUCCGGCGAGCGUAUGUAAGGAGCAAGGUUAAGCACUUCUGGUGCGAAGCCAAAGGGAAACCGAGUCUGAAUAGGGCGAUAAGUUGCUUGCAUAGGGCCCGAAACCGGGUGACCUAUCCAUGUCCAGGUUGAAGUGGGAGUAAAAUCCCAUGGAGGACCGAACCGACCCCCGUUGAAAUGGUGGCGGAUGAGGUGUGGAUAGCGGAGAAAUUCCAAUCGAACUCGGAGAUAGCUGGUUCUCCCCGAAAUAGCUUUAGGGCUAGCGUUGUGAAUGAUUACCGGAGGUAAAGCACUGAAUGAUGGAGGGGCCGAGAGGUUACCAAAAUCUAUCAAACUAAGAAUGCCGGAUAAUUGAAUCACAGCAGUCAGACAGUGUGAGAUAAGUCUCAUUGUCAAAAGGGAAAAAGCCCAGACCCACAGCUAAGGUCCCAAAGGAAUGUUAAGUGGAGAAGGAUGUGGAGUUGCGAAAACAACCAGGAUGUUGGCUUAGAAGCAGCCACUCAUUUAAAGAGUGCGUAAUAGCUCACUGGUCGAGUGACUCUGCGCCGAAAAUGUAACGGGGCUAAACAUGACACCGAAGCUUGGGAACCCGCAAGGGUUGGUAGGGGAGCGUUGUGUACGGGGUGAAACAUGAGCGGAAGCGCAUGUGGACUGUACAGAAGUGAGAAUGCCGGAAUGAGUAGCGCGAUUUAUGUGAGAAUCAUAAAGGCCGAAAGCCUAAGGUUUCUGGAGGAAGGUUCGUCCGCUCCAGGUAAGUCGGGAGCUAAGGUGAGGCCGAGAGGCGUAGCCGAUGCACAUACGGUAGAAAUUCCGUAACCGUCGAAGUAUUUAAGCAAAGGGACACUGAGGAAGUGUAUGACCCGGGCGAUGGUAGCCCCGGGCGAAAGGGACCGAAAUUUAGUAGGGAAGCAUGCAUGGAAACAGGCGAGAAAAGCUUUGUGUAUAUAUAAGAUGCCCGUACCGCAAACCGACACAGGUAGGUAGGAAGAGAAUUCUAAGGCCAACGGGAGAAGUGUUGUUAAGGAACUCGGCAAGUUGACCCCGUAACUUCGGGAGAAGGGGUGCUCACGAGAGUGAGCCGCAGAGAAUAGGUCCAGGCGACUGUUUAGCAAAAACACAGCUCUAUGCUAAAUCGGAAGAUGAUGUAUAUGGGGUGACGCCUGCCCGGUGCUGGAAGGUUAAGAGGAGGAGUGAGAGCCCCGAAUCGAAGCCCCAGUAAACGGCGGCCGUAACUAUAACGGUCCUAAGGUAGCGAAAUUCCUUGUCAGGUAAGUUCUGACCCGCACGAAUGGCGUAACGAUCUGGACACUGUCUCAACAGCACGCCCGGCGAAAUUGUAGUACCGGUGAAGAUGCCGGUUACCCGCGACAAGACGGAAAGACCCCAUGGAGCUUCACUGUAGCUUAAUAUUGGAUUUCGGUAUUUCAUGUACAGCAUAGGUGGGAGGCUGAGAAACUAGGACGCCAGUCUUAGCGGAGCCGCCGUUGGGAUACCACUCUUGAAGUGCUGAAAUUCUAACCUGGAGCCAUGAAACUGGCUCGGGGACAUUGUUAGGUGGGCAGUUUGACUGGGGCGGUCGCCUCCAAAAAGGUAACGGAGGCGCUCAAAGGUUGGCUCAGCAUGGAUGGAAACCAUGCAAUGAGUGUAAACGUAUAAGCCAGCCUGACUGCGAGACCGACGGGUCGAGCA